AUUGAACGCUGGCGGCAUGCCUUACACAUGCAAGUCGAACGGUAACAGGUCUUCGGAUGCUGACGAGUGGCGAACGGGUGAGUAAUACAUCGGAACGUGCCUAGUAGUGGGGGAUAACUACUCGAAAGAGUGGCUAAUACCGCAUGAGAUCUACGGAUGAAAGCAGGGGAUCGCAAGACCUUGUGCUACUAGAGCGGCCGAUGGCAGAUUAGGUAGUUGGUGGGAUAAAAGCUUACCAAGCCGACGAUCUGUAGCUGGUCUGAGAGGACGAUCAGCAACACUGGGACUGAGACACGGCCCAGACUCCUACGGGAGGCAGCAGUGGGGAAUUUUGGACAAUGGGCGAAAGCCUGAUCCAGCAAUGCCGCGUGCAGGAUGAAGGCCUUCGGGUUGUAAACUGCUUUUGUACGGAACGAAAAGCCCUGGGUUAAUACCCUGGGGUCAUGACGGUACCGUAAGAAUAAGCACCGGCUAACUACGUGCCAGCCGCCGCAGUAAGAC
rnacentral:rRNA from 1 species